AUUGAACGCUGGCGGCAUGCCUUACACAUGCAAGUCGAACGGCAGCGCGGACUUCGGUCUGACGGCGAGUGGCGAACGGGUGAGUAAUACAUCGGAACGUACCCUGUUGUGGGGGAUAACUAGUCGAAAGAUUAGCUAAUACCGCAUACGACCUGAGGGUGAAAGUGGGGGACCGCAAGGCCUCACGCAGCAGGAGCGGCCGAUGUCUGAUUAGCUAGUUGGUGGGGUAAAGGCCCACCAAGGCGACGAUCAGUAGCUGGUCUGAGAGGACGAUCAGCCACGAUGGGGCUGAGACACGGCCCAGACUCCUACGGGAGGCAGCAGUGGGGAAUUUUGGACAAUGGGGGCAACCCUGAUCCAGCAAUGCCGCGUGUGUGAAGAAGGCCUUCGGGUUGUAAAGCACUUUUGUCCGGAAAGAAAUCGCGCUGGUUAAUACCUGGCGUGGAUGACGGUACCGGAAGAAUAAGCACCGGCUAACUACGUGCCAGCAGCCGCCGUAA
rnacentral:rRNA from 1 species